rnacentral:lncRNA from 1 species
AUGACUUUCCUGGCCUGCUGAGGUGAGCGAGAGGAGGUCUGGAGGAGCCGGAGGAGUCUCUGUCUGUGUCUGUUUACAGUAGGCAGCAUGCUGGUGCUUCAUUGCGAACAUCAGAUUCUGUCCUGGCUCAUCAUGAGGAGAACGGAGGAAAGCUGCGGGCCGUGAGCGUGAUCAGUUUACAGUGGGCCACUCGCAGACGCCAGCACAGUGGCAGCGGCCGCGCUCUAAUGAGAGCUGACAGACGUGACAGAAAGAAAAUGUCACAGCAGAGCUGUGAAAAUAAACCGCUGCACAUGAGAAACCUAAGCUCUGAGCACCUGCUUUCUGACUCAGGUACAUUUAAUCACCUUUAAUCCCAUUAUGUUCCUGACCAAAGACUGAAACCUGGGGAUC